UACGUAGGGUGCAAGCGUUGUCCGGAAUUAUUGGGCGUAAAGAGCUCGUAGGCGGCCAGUUGCGUCCGCUGUGAAAUCCCGGGGCUUAACCCCGGGCGUGCAGUGGAUACGGGCUGGCUAGAGGCAGGCAGGGGAGAACGGAAUUCCCGGUGUAGCGGUGAAAUGCGCAGAUAUCGGGAGGAACACCGGUGGCGAAGGCGGUUCUCUGGGCCUGUACUGACGCUGAGGAGCGAAAGCGUGGGGAGCAAACAGGG
rnacentral:rRNA from 1 species